rnacentral:lncRNA from 1 species
CUGCCUCCUACACUGUUUUACCCCAGUGGGAAGCCAAGUCUAAUCUCAGCUGCCGUAUCAUGUCCAGGACCAGUUGUCAUGUCAUGAGGACACUCAAGCAACCCUAUGAAGAAGUCCAAGCAGUCAGGGACAAAGACCACUUGCCAACAGGAAGCACUAUCCUACAAGAACUUGAGUGAAACACCUCGGGAGUGCAUCCUCCAGCCUCAGUCAAGUCUCAGGUGUCUGUACUUCUGGCUGACAUCUUGACUACAGCCUCAUAAGAGAUUCUGGUCUGAACGAAUUCACUAGGCCACUCCUGGAUUCUUGAUGCUCAAAGACUGAAUGAGAUUAUAAAUGUUUAUUACUUUGAGAUUAUAAAUGUUUAUUACUUCAAGUUGCUAAAUUUCAGGGGUAAUUUGUUGUUAUGCAACAAAAAUAAUACAAU